rnacentral:lncRNA from 1 species
CUCAGCUUCCCAAGUAGCUAGGACUUCAGGCACCACACCCAGCUAAUUUUUUAAUUUUUGUGGAGAUGGAAGUCUCAUUGUGUUCACUAGGCUGGUCUUGAACUCGGUCUUAAGUGAUUUCCCACCUCGGCCUCUCAGAGUGUUGGGGUUACAGGCACGAGCCUGUACUUGGCCCUGACUUAUUUUGAUUAUCCCAGCAAUGGGAUCCCAUUUUCAUUGGCCAGACUAGUCUAUAACUCUUGACCUCAGGUGAUCCACCCACCUCGGCCUCCCAAAGUACUGAGAUUACAGGCGUGAGCCACCA